AAAAUUUGUUCCAGGUGCGGAUGCCUGCCAAGGUGACAGCGGUGGCCCGCUGUUAUACAAUAGCUAUAUUGUGGUAGGAGUGACGUCAUGGGGAUAUGGAUGCGCACACCCGCAAUACCCCGGCGUCAGUGCACGUGUCGCCAGAUACAGUAACUGGAUUAAUGCUACGGUGACCAACAUUAACGGGAGCCCAUCUGUGAGCGAAUCGAGAAUAAUUCUACUGUUCACACUCAUCUGUGCAAUGCUCCACUGGCACUCCAGUUAGGCAAAUCUAUUUCAUAUGUAUAUAAGUUAUAAAAAAGGAUUCAAAAAUAUCUUUUUUCAAGUUUUUAUAUAUUGUUUUAAUUUUAUUUUUAUAUUUAUUUCACCUAUAUGAUUGAUAAUUAUGGUUAAAAUAAUUAAAACAUAAAGGGAACAUUCAUUUCUGUCAGC